AUUGAACGCUGGCGGCAGGCUUAACACAUGCAAGUCGAGCGGAGAGAGGUAGCUUGCUACUGAUCUUAGCGGCGGACGGGUGAGUAAUGCUUAGGAAUCUGCCUAUUAGUGGGGGACAACAUUUCGAAAGGAAUGCUAAUACCGCAUACGUCCUACGGGAGAAAGCAGGGGAUCUUCGGACCUUGCGCUAAUAGAUGAGCCUAAGUCGGAUUAGCUAGUUGGUGGGGUAAAGGCCUACCAAGGCGACGAUCUGUAGCGGGUCUGAGAGGAUGAUCCGCCACACUGGGACUGAGACACGGCCCAGACUCCUCCGGGAGGCAGCAGUGGGGAAUAUUGGACAAUUGGCGCAAGCCUGAUCCAGCCAUGCCGCGUGUGUGAAGAAGGCCUUAUGGUUGUAAAGCACUUUAAGCGAGGAGGAGGCUACUUUAGUUAAUACCUAGAGAUAGUGGACGUUACUCGCAGAAUAAGCACCGGCUAACUCUGUGCCAGCCGCCGCGGUAAUAC
rnacentral:rRNA from 1 species